GAGUUUGAUCGUGGCUCAGGAUGAACGCUGGCGGCGUGCUUAACACAUGCAAGUCGAACGAAGCAUAUAAAAGGAAUUUCUUCGGAGAGGAAUUUUAUAUGACUGAGUGGCGGACGGGUGAGUAACGCGUGGGCAGCCUACCCCACACAGGGGGACAACAGUUGGAAACGACUGCUAAUACCGCAUAGGCGCACAGCUUCGCAUGAAGCAGUGUGGAAAACCGAGGUGGUGUGGGAUGGGCCCGCGUCUGAUUAGCUGGUUGGCGGGGUAACGGCCCACCAAGGCGACGAUCAGUAGCCGGCCCGAGAGGGUGGACGGCCACAUUGGGACUGAGACACGGCCCAAACUCCUACGGGAGGCAGCAGUGGGGAAUAUUGCACAAUGGGGGAAACCCUGAUGCAGCGACGCCGCGUGAGCGAAGAAGUAUUUCGGUAUGUAAAGCUCUAUCAGCAGGGAAGAAAAUGACGGUACCUGACUAAGAAGCCCGGCUAAAUACGUGCCAGCAGCCG
rnacentral:rRNA from 1 species